UUCAACUCUGAAGCUAAAUGAGAAGAAAUGGCUACAUGGAGUAUGACAAUAUGUUAUGCUCGAACGCAACAAGAUAAUUAGAUGAAAAUACACUUGUGGAACUGUGAUAGUACAUAGGGCUAUUUUGUUCUGGUCUGCCUAUCAUUGCUACUACCAUUUAGUACGAGCAUCCAAAAUCAUGCGGUCCUAUGGUUUGAUCUUUAACAUGUGGAUUGGCUUGUAUCUGCUGAGACGAGUUAUAUACUACUUGAAACCCUUUUGCAUUAUGAAGUUUAACUUCAUCAGCUCCAGUUUCUUUGGGUAGCACAAUAUAGAUGUUUUUUGAAUAAUAAUUAGGUUCUCCAAUCUGAAUUAUAUGUAUCCUCUACUGUAGGGAGGCUUGUCUACUCUAGUGAAAUCUUUGAGAUCAAGGUGCAUAGAAUUGAUCACUGAAAUUGAGGCUCGUUUAGAUUUUGAAGACGAGAUGCCUCCAUUGGACCCUAUGAUGCUACUUUUGGUUGAGAUCAAGGUUCCGACACUUUUGACCUUUGAGCAGCAUAUGCAGUGGCAUAGAACGAUCUGAACAAGCCUGGUAGGUAUCCAAAGAACAAGCAAUGAAAUUGAACCCAUUUUCUGGAUGGGGUCAAAGAUCUAUCGGCUGGGAUUACUGUUGUCACUGUCCUAUAGAUUUGGGUUGUAUCGUUGUGUAUUAUAUUUGCUAUGGAGCUAUGUAUGUAUGGAUGCUAUGGAACUAUAUGUAUAUAUGGAUGCUAUGGAAUUUUGGAUGUAUGGAUGCUAUAGAAUUUUG
rnacentral:lncRNA from 1 species